AGUGAACGCUGGCGGCAGGCCUAAUACAUGCAAGUCGAACGGCAGCACAGCAGAGCUUGCUCUGUGGGUGGCGAGUGGCGGACGGGUGAGGAAUACGUGGGAAUCUGCCCAGUCGUGGGGAUAACGUAGGGAAACUUACGCUAAUACCGCAUGCGCCCUUCGGGGAAAGCCGGGGACCUUCGGGCCUGGCGCGAUUGGAUGAGCCCACGUCGGAUUAGCUAGUUGGCGGGGUAAAGGCCCACCAAGGCGACGAUCCGUAGCUGGUCUGAGAGGAUGAUCAGCCACACUGGAACUGAGACACGGUCCAGACUCCUACGGGAGGCAGCAGUAGGGAAUAUUGGACAAUGGGCGCAAGCCUGAUCCAGCCAUGCCGCGUGAGUGAAGAAGGCCCUCGGGUUGUAAAGCUCUUUUGUCCGGAAAGAAAAGCGCCGGGUUAAUACCCUGGUGUCCUGACGGUACCGGAAGAAUAAGCACCGGCUAACUUCGUGCCAGCAGCCGCGGUAAU
rnacentral:rRNA from 1 species